rnacentral:rRNA from 1 species
UACGUAGGAUGCAAGCGUUGUCCGGAAUUACUGGGCGUAAAGCGUGCGUAGACGGUAGCGUAAGUCAGAUGUGAAAGCCCCGGGCUCAACCUGGGAAUUGCAUUUGAGACUGCUCUGCUUGGGUGCGGAAGAGGGAAGCGGAAUUUCCGGUGUAGCGGUGAAAUGCGUAGAUAUCGGAAGGAACACCAGUGGCGAAAGCGGCUUCCUGGUCCGACACCGACGUUCAGGCACGAAAGCGUGGGGAGCAAACAGG